UGAAUACGAGACGCUAAGGCGUCGAAGUAGUGUAUGUCAUACUUCCAAGAAAAGCUUGCACUGUCAUAGAUAAAAAACGCCUGUACCAUAACCGACACAGGUGGGUAGGUAGAGUAUACUAAGGGGCGCGAGAUAACUCUCUCUAAGGAACUCGGCAAAAUAACUCCGUAACUUCGGGAGAAGGAGUGCCUUAUUAUUAAGGCUGCAAUAACAAGAUCCAAGCAACUGUUUAUCAAAAACACAGGUCUCCGCUAAGUCGUAAGACGAUGUAUGGGGGCUGACGCCUGCCCAGUGCCAGAAGGUUAAAGAAGUUGGUUAGCAUUUGCGAAGCUGAUAACUGAAGCCCUGGUGAACGGCGGCCGUAACUAUAACGGUCCUAAGGUAGCGAAAUUCCUUGUCGGGUAAGUUCCGACCCGCACGAAAGGCGUAAUGAUUUGGAUACUGUCUCGGAGAGGGGCUCGGUGAAAUAGACUUGUCUGUGAAGAUGCGGACUACCUGCACCAGGACAGAAAGACCCUAUGAAGCUUUACUGUAACUUGAAAUUGAAAUUGGACUUUAUUCGCGCAGCAUAGGUGGGAGGCGUUGAUUAUAAUCUUGUGGGAUUAUUGGAGCCAUCAGUGAGAUACCACUCUUGUAAUGUUAGAUUUCUAACUUUGAAUCAUUAUCUGGUCAAAGAACAGUUUCAGGCGGGCAGUUUGACUGGGGCGGUCGCCUCCUAAACGGUAACGGAGGCGUACAAAGGUUUCCUCUGAACGGUUAGAAAUCGUAUCUAGAGUGUAAAGGCAUAAGGAAGCUUGACUGUGAGACCUACAAGUCGAGCAGGGACGAAAGUCGGUCUUAGUGAUCUGACGGUACUGAGUGGAAAGGCCGUCACUCAACGGAUAAAAGUUACUCUAGGAUAACAGGCUGAUCUCCCCCAAGAGUUCACAUCGACGGGGAGGUUUGGCACCUCGAUGUCGGCUCAUCGCAUCCUGGGGCGGUAGUACGUCCCAAGGGUUGGGCUGUUCGCCCAUGAAAGCGGUACGCGAGCUGGGUUCAGAACGUCGUGAGACAGUUCGGUCCAUAUCCGGUGUAGGCGUUAGAAUAUUGAGAGGAGCCUUCUUUAGUACGAGAGGACCGAGAAGGACAUACCUCUGGUGUACCAGUUAUCGUGCCAACGGUAAACGCUGGGUAGCUAUGUAUGGAGUGGAUAACCGCUGAAAGCAUCUAAGUGGGAAGCCCACCUCAAGAUAAGUAUUCCC
rnacentral:rRNA from 1 species